GCAGGAGGGGGCGGGCCUGUGUUGCCGUAGCAGCAAGACGCCGCGAGGCGGGGCAAGCCGCGCAGAGGAUAUGAUACAGCUGGAAAAGACUUGGAGAAGGAUGACAAAGACAGCAGAAGGCAGAGAAGGACUUUAUUACCAGUAGCAGCAGAAAGAACCAAUACAACUAAACAUGACCUUUCUGUACUCUUCUCUGGCUUUUGUAUUAACACUGCUGAUGGCUGGAGAGGAACUGUAAGGUUGCUGGAGUUCGUCAUGGAAAUCUGCAUUCGGACUUUUAUUGCUGUCCUGAAACUAUUUCACAAGAUUUGACCCAGAUUCUAAAACAGACUUGUAAUUCUAUGUGUUGGUUCAAGGUCUCAGUGUUAUUUGCAGUUCUGCUGUUUAAGAACAUCCAUAUUCAUUGAACCAUUCUGUAAAUUUAGAAAUCAUUUCAGCUUUCAUUUCUAUUUGAAUUAAACUGUUUAUCAGGUAUGGCAAAAAUACUAUUUUUCCACUUUUGUUUUUUUUUUGACUUCUAUGUAUGCGAUUUUCUCUAAGUUGGAUUUUAAAUGUAAUUGUAUAGUGGAUAGUUGAAGAAUGCUAAACGUCACGUCUUUUGUUACAGUACUGCUUGCUAAUAUUCUGAAAAGGCAAAUCUGCUCUCUUCCUUCUUGAAAAGCAGUGGAGACUAGUGUUUAUUACAGUAGCCAAGGCUGUCUAGUUGUUUUCCUCUGUCUGAUGGGUGAUGAUUUUUAUCUUAUCAUUAUAUUACAAACAUUUCAGAUUCAGGAGAUUUUGUUGUCCUUUUGCUCAGCAAAAUGGAAUCUCCGGUGAAAACAUUUUUUGUGCUGUCAUACUGUGAAGCGGUGU
rnacentral:lncRNA from 1 species